rnacentral:rRNA from 1 species
AUUGAACGCUGGCGGCAGGCCUAACACAUGCAAGUCGAGCGGAUGAAGGGAGCUUGCUCCUGGAUUCAGCGGCGGACGGGUGAGUAAUGCCUAGGAAUCUGCCUGGUAGUGGGGGAUAACGUCCGGAAACGGGCGCUAAUGCCGCAUACGUCCUGAGGGAGAAAGUGGGGGAUCUUCGGACCUCACGCUAUCAGAUGAGCCUAGGUCGGAUUAGCUAGUUGGUGGGGUAAAGGCCUACCAAGGCGACGAUCCGUAACUGGUCUGAGAGGAUGAUCAGUCACACUGGAACUGAGACACGGUCCAGACUCCUACGGGAGGCAGCAGUGGGGAAUAUUGGACAAUGGGCGAAAGCCUGAUCCAGCCAUGCCGCGUGUGUGAAGAAGGUCUUCGGAUUGUAAAGCACUUUAAGUUGGGAGGAAGGGCAGUAAGUUAAGACCUUGCUGUUUUGACGUUACCAACAGAAUAAGCACCGGCUAACUUCGU